UGCAAGUCGAACGAACUUCCGUUAAUUGAUUAUGACGUGCUUGCACUGAAUGAGAUUUUAACACGAAGUGAGUGGCGGACGGGUGAGUAACACGUGGGUAACCUGCCCAGAAGCAGGGGAUAACACCUGGAAACAGAUGCUAAUACCGUAUAACAGAGAAAACCGCCUGGUUUUCUUUUAAAAGAUGGCUCUGCUAUCACUUCUGGAUGGACCCGCGGCGCAUUAGCUGGUUGGUGAGGUAACGGCUCACCAAGGCGAUGAUGCGUAGCCGACCUGAGAGGGUAAUCGGCCACAUUGGGACUGAGACACGGCCCAGACUCCUACGGGAGGCAGCAGUAGGGAAUCUUCCACAAUGGACGCAAGUCUGAUGGAGCAACGCCGCGUGAGUGAAGAAGGGUUUCGGCUCGUAAAGCUCUGUUGUUAAAGAAGAACGUGGGUGAGAGUAACUGUUCACCCAGUGACGGUAUUUAACCAGAAAGCCACGGCUAACUACGUGCCAGCAGCCGCGGUAAUACGUAGGUGGCAAGCGUUAUCCGGAUUUAUUGGGCGUAAAGCGAGCGCAGGCGGUCUUUUAAGUCUAAUGUGAAAGCCUUCGGCUCAACCGAAGAAGUGCAUUGGAAACUGGGAGACUUGAGUGCAGAAGAGGACAGUG
rnacentral:rRNA from 2 species